AUGCAUCAUGCUGAUACGGAGAGUGUGAUAUACCUCACAACUUGUAACAAUUGUUUCUUGACUUUUAAACUUGAAACAACCACCAAUAAAUAUAUGGCACGUGGAUUAUUAGAAUUAUAUAUAAAAAAAGAAACAUAUAUUACCAAGCACCAGCAGAACGAUACACUUUCUUUUCUUCCCUUUCAGAACAAACAAAAGUUUCUCCUCCUCCUUUCUUUAGCAUCCCUUUCUUAUUCUUCUUCAAAUCGAACAUCUUCUCCUCCUUAUUCCAGUACAGCAAAAAAUAGCACAGUGACAUGA